AUUUCAGCCAUAUUUCAACCUCUGACUUUCCGCUUGACAUUCUUUGUUCGUUUUCGUUAUGUCAGGGCGCCACUCAGCGCCAAACGCUGUAAGGGCUGCGUUUCCCCUGACUGGAAUAGUCAUUCCAUGGUCACAUGAUGGCGCGUCAUUCUUUGUCUGGUCCCCGACGAGGUAAGCCGUUCUUCUGCUUACUACUUGUCUCUGCCGUUUUAUUCCUGCUUCCGACAUGCAAGACGCGGCAACUACGUCUGCGUCUCCGUCCGCCUCAACUUCCCCGCCUUGUGCUCGGUGCCCGGCAUGGCGUUCGCACUCCAUGCAGCCUUUGUUUGCGUUACCCUUUUCUCCUUCGGUAUGUCGUGGCUCACGUAGAAACGUUCUUUUUGCACGUAUCUCCAGGCGACUGGAUGCGAGGCACUACAAAGCGUGAGGAAGAAAGCCAUUUUACUCAAUAACUUGGGCUUCGAGGGGCAGCGUCUCUACUACGACCUGGCGUUGCGAACGGACUUGAGAACUGCAGCUUCCGAAGACAUUCUUCGCCUAUUCGACCGACAUUAUCUUCAGGGACAGAGAGCAAAAACCCAGGGAAACCUUUCAGGACUUCGUCGCCGCGUUACAAAGGCUAGCGCCUGCUUUAUGUGCGUUCGGCGCUUGGCACGACGAGUCCCUUCGCGACCAAAUCUUGCAAGGCGUCGCAUCAGCAAGAAUACGAGAAAAGUUACUGUACGAAGGUUCGUCCCUGAAGCGUGGAGCAAGUCGGCAAAGAACAACAACUCGUCUGUUCAGCGCGUCUCGAGGCAACGCCAAGAUGGCGUCGACAGCCAUCACCUUCCUCGCCCGAGCGCGCAAGAUGGCGGUCCCUGCGACCCUUCACCAUCGACCCGGCGGCUUCCAGAUUGCGCUCAACGGCAUGGCGGAAAGUCGCAACGUGGAGAGGCCGACCAACAUGGCGCCUGGCCCGAACUCCGCGAAGCCAGUCGAGACAUCGCAGUCAAUCGUUACCGAUGUGGUUCACCUCACCACAUCGCAUCCGAUCCAGGCUGUCCGGCCAAGCAAGUUACCUGCCGUGCGUGCGGAAAAGUGGGACAUUACGCUGCAGUUUGCCGUUCGACGAGCCGAACGCAGCGACAGUGUCUCCUGCUCGAACGCAGCUUGUUUCCACUACCGCCGAUACAGAAUCGGCCACCACAGGCCCGUCUGUGCUUACGAUUCAAGCACGGAAUUUCCGUCCGGCAAUAAUUUACGCCGAAGUCCUCAUUCCGAAUAUUAUACACUCAACUUGCUCGUGGGUACAUACGGUGUCGCUGAUGAACAGCUCCCUGCACGAAGGACAUUUCAAUGUUUUUAGGUUUAGGUUUUCAAGGACAUUUAGGUGCACGUUAAAGAACCCCAGGUAGUAGAAAUUUCCGGGGUCCUCCAGUACGGCGUGCCUCGGAAUCAGUGGUUUUGGCACGUGAAACCCCACAAUUUAUUAUUAGUCUACAUUCAAUUGCUUUGAAGCCUCCAGUAUUGCUUACUUUCUGUCUCGCUCUAUGUAUUGCAGGAAUCUCUACUAUUUCCUCACGAUACAUUCUACAGCCAAAGGACAUCAUGCAUAUUCAAGGGCAAAUUUCCUCAGAAGACGAUUGCAAGGCUUCAAAGACAGCAGGUCAUGGCGCUGGAGAACAUCUUUGUCAAUUUUGCAGGCGCAGGCGCUGAAAGGCUUUCAUUAGCGGGAUGGCAUGCAGCUGCUCAGUCGGGUCCCUGGGGAGAGCUGUCUACCAAGACAACUCUCUCGCUAAUGAGAGCGGAAACAGGCUUCAUAACGACCGGUGGACUCUCGUUUCAACAAUUCGAAAGGUUAUGGAACCUGUGCCAAACCUGGUUCAACGGCCUUCCGGAUGAGUGCAAAGAAAGUAAGCAGUUGACGUACCCCAAGGUCUCCGCACUACUCGGCCAACUUGGUCUUCCACUACCCUACGGUCACUUCGUUUUUCACCGCUACAGUGGCGGACUAAACCGGAUCACUGUAGACAAUUAUUUUUUUUAUCAGAGGCGGUCUGACGUGUGCAGAGGCUUUCAUGAAAACCAUCAGGUGGAUGGGGACAAUGAACAUGUAGCUGUUAGCUGGCUCGAGUUCUGCCAGCUAACGCUUGCUCUUUCAUAAAUAAUUUAUUUUAUUUA